AGGAGCUAGAGAGAGAAGAUCAUGAUGACGUCACAAUGCCUACCCAUGGGAAACUUGUCUUCACAGGACAGACUUCAAAUUGUGUUACUUCAACAGACCUCACAGUUGCAAACCUCCGAAAUGAUCUUCUUUCUGGGCAUAUUACUUAUGGACCUAUCAGGUAACGCCUAUGGGAACAAAAUCACUCCAAUCAGUGAUGAACUCGACAUGGUUGAGGGACAUAAUUCAACCCUCUCCUGUAACAUUAGUUAUAGCUUUGGAGACUAUCCACAGUGGUAUCGACAGUACCCAAGAUCAGCACCUCAGUUUCUCUUGUUCAUCCUUAGUGAUAAGACAGAAACAUCAAAUGUGGAUCCUCGAUUCUCUGGGAGAAUGAAUAAGGAGAAAAGUCAAAUGUUCCUGGAGCUCACUGCAGAACUCACAGACUCUGCUCUCUACUACUGUGCCAUGAGGCCCACAGUGAAGGAAAUGGGCUAACUGUUGUACAAAAACUCACAUGGCAUGACAUCAGAUGAAAUACACCAUAUCUUACUCUGCA